UACGUAGGGUGCGAGCGUUAAUCGGAAUUACUGGGCGUAAAGCGUGCGCAGGCGGUUCGUUAAGUCAGAUGUGAAAGCCCCGGGCUCAACCUGGGAACUGCAUUUGAAACUGGCGGGCUUGAGUAUGGCAGAGGGGGGUGGAAUUCCGCGUGUAGCAGUGAAAUGCGUAGAGAUGCGGAGGAACACCGAUGGCGAAGGCAGCCCCCUGGGCCAAAUACUGACGCUCAGGCACGAAAGCGUGGGGGAGCAAACAGG
rnacentral:rRNA from 1 species